AGGACGAACGCUGGCGGCGUGCUUAACACAUGCAAGUCGAGCGGAAAGGCCCUUCGGGGUACUCGAGCGGCGAACGGGUGAGUAACACGUGAGCAACCUGCCCCUGGCUCUGGGAUAGCCUCCGGAAACGGGGAUUAAUACCGGACAUGACCCUUGACCGCAUGGUUGGGGGUGGAAAGUUUUUCGGCCAGGGUGGGGCUCGCGGCCUAUCAGCUUGUUGGGGGGUGACGGCCCACCAAGGCGACGACGGGUAG
rnacentral:rRNA from 1 species